rnacentral:lncRNA from 1 species
ACCAACCGAUUGUUUUCACGGGCUCACAAUCCAACCCAGUUGGUUUUCCCAAAGGCUCACCAACCACAACCUUACAACGAUUGUUUUUCGGGUUCACAAUCAACACAGUUGGUUUUCCCAAGGGCUCACCAACCACAACCUUACAAAGUUGGUUUUUCCUUUGGCUCACCAACAAACCUUAACCCCUUGAUUCAAUCCCUUGAUUGAAUCAAGUUACAAGAUAUUAGAGCAAGAGUUUAAAUCAAAUACAAGCUUCUCAAAUAAGCAAAUAUAGCAAAUAUAAAUAAGUAAAGUAAAGAGAUGAAGCCCUCUAACAAAUUUGUAGAUGGAGGAACUCGGCUUCUUCUUUACUUGACCCUUUUCUGAUUUUGCACGAAGUAGAGGAUCACCGAGGCAGCACACGGAUGAAGAGGAAGCUUUGGGAUUCACUUGGAUGCUCUUCUUCUCUCUAUUUUACUUUGAAUGGCCCUUUUGUGCUUAUGGAAGAUUUUCCUUGUAAACUCUUUGAAAUCUCUUCCCUAAA